rnacentral:rRNA from 1 species
AUUGAACGCUGGCGGCAGGCCUAACACAUGCAAGUCGAACGAGUGGCGGACGGGUGAGUAAUGUCUGGGAAACUGCCCGAUGGAGGGGGAUAACUACUGGAAACGGUAGCUAAUACCGCAUACCAUCGGAUGUGCCCAGAUGGGAUUAGCUAGUAGGUGGGGUAACGGCUCACCUAGGCGACGAUCCCUAGCUGGUCUGAGAGGAUGACCAGCCACACUGGAACUGAGACACGGUCCAGACUCCUAGGGGAGGCAGCAGUGGGGAAUAUUGCACAAUGGGUGCAAGCCGGACGGAGCCACGACGCGAGUAUGAAGAAGGCCUUCGGGUUGUAAAGUACUUUCAGCGGGGAGGCGUUACUCGCAGAAGAAGCAAAGGCUAAAUCCAUGCCAGCAGCCGCGGUAAUAC